rnacentral:rRNA from 1 species
UGUCAGAAGGCAGACCCGGAGAACUGAAACAUCUUAGUACCCGGAGGAAGAGAAAGAAAAAUCGAUUCCCUGAGUAGCGGCGAGCGAAACGGGAAGAGCCCAAACCAAUAAGCUUGCUUAUUGGGGUUGUAGGACACUCUAUACGGAGUUACAAAGGAAUAUAUUAGACGAAUCAUCUGGAAAGUUGAAUCAAAGAAGGUAAUAAUCCUGUAGUUGAAAAUAUAUUCUCUCUUGAGUGGAUCCUGAGUACGACGGAGCACGUGAAAUUCCGUCGGAAUCUGGGAGGACCAUCUCCUAAGGCUAAAUACUCUCUAGUGACCGAUAG